GCCUGAAGCACUGCAUGUUUGGUGGCCCCUUAUACACAAGAAUUAAAAUCUUAGGAAAUUACCAAAUUUAAAUCUUAAAAUCCAUCUAUUUCAAAUAAUUGAAUUUGAUGAAUUAGCAGAGAAAAUGAGACAAUAGUUUGAAAAGUAAAAAAAACUUU